GUAUUAUGAUGGAUCAAAUAGAAAUACAAAUCGUCCUCUGACAUAAAGAUUGAAUUUAUCAUAAAUCUGAAUAUCUAAAAACAAUAUUAAGGGCGAGCUAGCUAUCAUAUUCGAUGAGUUGCUUUGGAGGUUGUGGGUCCCAAGACGUGUUGCAGUUGCUUUACCGGC